GCUGUCACAAUGACCCCCAGUGUCAAGAGGGUAGGGCAAACCUCACACAGCUCCCCUGUUCACCCUUGUAGUCAUGUAGGCUGUCACAAUGACCCCCAGUGUCAAGAGGGUAGGGCAAACCUCACACAGUUCCCCUGUUCACCCUUGAGGUCAUGCAGGCUGUCAC